rnacentral:lncRNA from 1 species
CUUUGUAAUGAUGGAAAAUGAAAGGGAUGACUAAAGUUUCCGUUCUUAGCAGAACACGGGGUGGGGUGGGGGAGCCGGCUGAGUUCCAGCUUUUGUGAGUUAAAAUGACGCUAUCAGCUCGUUUCUCCAUAAAACGAACUGGAAAAGAGAUACUCUGUGAGAUCAUCACCAUCAAACACUUCAAAGACUUUUCAUGGGGACCCACGCUAGUCCAUAGUACAAGCAAAUCUGUUCUCUCUGGAAGCUCGCAGCUUAAGACACGACGUGAUGUCCACUUCCGGCUCAAACUGAGUUCGGACUGCGCACGAAUCUGUUCGUAGAGGUUGGCUGGCUCUGAGGCUGGGAUGGCAAACACGCAUCGCGGAGGAAAAACAACAUUACAGUCACAAGGCACCAAAGAUUUGUAAGAUUCCAAGGCCUUCAAGCCAAGAUCAGCCUGAUGGUUCCUGAAAUAACUGGGAAAACAAAUGCUUCAAGUGCCAGUUGAAGAUUGUGUCUAUGUAUAUUCGAAACCUUCUUUCUAUAUAUACGCAUUUACAUGAGAAGACAGGCUCAUUCUUGUGCACAUUUGGGAGUUUUUCAACUGAUGAAAAUUAAUUUAAGAAUCAGAUGGAGCAACUUGACACUUCUGGGCGCAGGAGCCCAGGGAGAAAAGUAUAUCACUAAUGGCCAAUUUUCCAUAUGGCCUUCAUGGGUAAAGAGAAUUUGCAAAAAGAAGAAAAAAAUUUGCAUAGAUUAAGCCUCAAAAAUACCUCUCCAGUUUAAAGAAGGAAAUAAAUGAGAAGGUGAUCACAGAAGUGUGAAUUCAACAUUGCAGGUGGGAUCAUGCAGUGUUUUUUCACUUUAUUUUUUAUUAGGUUUAAUGAUUUGGACAGAGUUUAAAAUUCUGGACUGAAAAGUAACUUACUGUGGUUGUUACUGAAGGAAAGCAAGUUCAGGUGUGAUGGGACAAGUCUGAACAUUGAACUGAUUCCAUCACUUUGCCUUUUUCAGUUAACUGUAUUUGAGGAUUUUAAUUUAUUAUUUUCCUUUUCUGCACCUGUAGGAUAAUAUCUUAAAAUAGCAAUUGGAACCAAUAAUUACAAAAGUAAACAUCAAGGAAAACCCAAGCAAAGCUUCCUUUUGCCUGGAUGAAAGGCUGUGGAAACAAGCUCUGAAUGGGAACAAGAAGGUGCCCAUUGGCACAGUGACUCUAGGGAAAUGGUGCAAUCCUGGGGACUCUGAUACUAGCUUGGGUGUAUGGUUAGAGGGAUUGUCAGCUGUGUUGAGUCUAAGAACACUUGCAUAUGAGAAGAUUUGGACUUAAUGCUGAGAUUAUUUUUUUCAUUGAAAUGAAAAAGCACAUGAGCUUUAGGAAUAGAAAAGAGGAGAAGUAACUGGAAAGUGAGAAAGAGUCCAGCAAAAGAAACAAGAGUGUUACUCUGUUAGUCAGCAGAAUUAGGAUUACCUUAAGGCAAAUACUUGGUCUGCUUUAAUAGCUUUUUUCUCUGCCUCUGCUGACCUUGCUUUUUAGCCCCUAUGGCACUGAGGGGUCUGCUGGCUGGCAGAGGAAUUGUCCCAGGGAACCCUGCGUUCCUCGGGGACACAGGGCCCAGCAUUAAGAUAGGAAAUUUCUGGUUCUGAACAGUGAGGAAGAGUGUUUUUCUUCCUAAAAUUGGACUGCUGUCUGCACAAACUCUGAUCUGUUUUGCACAGUUUGUGUGCCUUUUUUUUCCCUUUAUGCAAUCUUUUUCAGCUUUUGCAGCAGAAAUUUGUCUAGUUCAGAAAACAUGCCAGAGGGUGGCUUUAGAAGAUGAUCCUGUAUGU